rnacentral:rRNA from 1 species
UACGUAGGUGGCGAGCGUUGUCCGGAUUUACUGGGCGUAAAGGGAGCGUAGGCGGACUUUUAAGUGAGAUGUGAAAUACUCGGGCUCAACUUGAGUGCUGCAUUUCAAACUGGAAGUCUAGAGUGCAGGAGAGGAGAAUGGAAUUCCUAGUGUAGCGGUGAAAUGCGUAGAGAUUAGGAAGAACACCAGUGGCGAAGGCGAUUCUCUGGACUGUAACUGACGCUGAGGCUCGAAAGCGUGGGUAUCAAACAGG